rnacentral:rRNA from 1 species
UUGUAGUCUGCAACUCGACUACAUGAAGCUGGAAUCGCUAGUAAUCGCGAAUCAGAAUGUCGCGGUGAAUACGUUCCCGGGUCUUGUACACACCGCCCGUCACACCAUGGGAGUCAGUAACGCCCGAAGCCGGUGACCCAACCGAUAAGGAGGGAGCCGUCGAAGGUGGGACCGAUAACUGGGGUGAAGUCGUAACAAGGUACC